ACGCUGGCGGCAUGCUCUACACAUGCAAGUCGGACGGCAGCACAGAGAAGCUUGCUUCUUGGGUGGCGAGUGGCGAACGGGUGAGUAACAUAUCGGAACGUACCGAGUAAUGGGGGAUAACUAAUCGAAAGAUUAGCUAAUACCGCAUAUUCUCUGAGGAGGAAAGCAGGGGACCUUCGGGCCUUGCGUUAUUCGAGCGGCCGAUAUCUGAUUAGCUAGUUGGUGGGGUAAAGGCCUACCAAGGCGACGAUCAGUAGCGGGUCUGAGAGGAUGAUCCGCCACACUGGGACUGAGACACGGCCCAGGCUCCUACGGGAGGCAGCAGUGGGGAAUUUUGGACAAUGGGCGCAAGCCUGAUCCAGCCAUGCCGCGUGUCUGAAGAAGGCCUUCGGGUUGUAAAGGACUUUUGUCAGGGAAGAAAAGGCUGUUGCUAAUACCGACAGUUGAUGACGGUACCUGAAGAAUAAGCACCGGCUAACUACGUGCCAGCAGCCGCGGUAAUACGUAGGGUGCGAGCGUUAAUCGGAAUUACUGGGCGUAAAGCGAGCGCAGACGGUUACUUAAGCAGGAUGUGAAAUCCCCGGGCUCAACCUGGGAACUGCGUUCUGAACUGGGUGACUAGAGUGUGUCAGAGGGAGGUAGAAUUCCACGUGUAGCAGUGAAAUGCGUAGAGAUGUGGAGGAAUACCGAUGGCGAAGGCAGCCUCCUGGGAUAACACUGACGUUCAUGCUCGAAAGCGUGGGUAGCAAACAGGAUUAGAUACCCUGGUAGUCCACGCCCUAAACGAUGUCAAUUAGCUGUUGGGCAACUUGAUUGCUUAGUAGCGUAGCUAACGCGUGAAAUUGACCGCCUGGGGAGUACGGUCGCAAGAUUAAAACUCAAAGGAAUUGACGGGGACCCGCACAAGC
rnacentral:rRNA from 1 species